rnacentral:lncRNA from 1 species
GGUAUUGCCUUUGCAGAGGAGUUGCACAUGUUGAACAGUGUUCUCUACAGGUCACGGAGAGUACACGUAUCAACAGUCUUCAUAUGGUGAGCAAGGCUACGACAGAUCCUUUGAUGAGUCUUCACAGCAUUACUAUGAAGGAGGUAACUCUCAGUACAGUCAACAGCAGGCGCAGUAUCAGCAGGGCUCUGGCCAGCAGCAGCCCUUCAGCCAGCAGCAGUACUCCUCUCAACAAGGCUACAGCGGACAGCCACAGGGAUACGGUCCUGGCCAGGGUGGAUCCUCCCAGUAUUCUCAGUAUCAGCAGGGUCAAAGCCAACAGUAUGGCUCCUACCGCUCCUCCCAGGGAGGCCCUGGAGCGCAGACGCAGAGGCCCUAUGCCUACGAACAGGGCCAGUAUGGAAAUUAUCAGCAAUAAGGAACCACAUUGUUUUACUGUUGGAAGAAAAUAAAAAGGAACGGUUCAGCAGUCACGCGCUGGCUCAGCUGUGGAUUAGAAGACCUGGCUGCCUCAGAUUUAUUAUCCUCUCAUUAAUCAUCAUUCUAGCUAAGAAUACAUAAUGUAUUAAAGUGUGGUGCUUCCCUCGUCUGUUUUGCUCGCUGCAGGGUUGUAGCUUGUAGCUGAAGGUGUGGAGUGCUACUGGCCUGGCCACCCAACGGAAACACAGGGUGUUUGUAGAAAUGAGGCAGUUAAUGUAAACCUUCCAUAUGGAUUAAAUAGGGUACUAAGAAGGAGGAGUAGUCAUUUGAUGAGCCUCAGCAAGUUGCCUGUUUCCUCCUCUUUCUUCUCCGUUUAUGCCUUUCACUUGUCUGUAUCCCAUCCCCUGCUUUAAAUGUUUAUUUUAUUUUACAAGCCUCUGUUUUUAUUCUUUUUUUGUGGUGCACAGAGUGGGCCCGUGGUUUGAGAGACUGAGGCUUUAAAAAGCAAAUUAGCGCUGAAGGAAAUGUUCCUUGAUAUUUAUCUAACAGACUAGGUCCAGCUCUUGCUCUAAUUCCUAGUUGAGAUGCUGUUCAAGAUAAGGUAAAUUAAUUUCAUGAAGGUGAAAACGUUGGUCCUUAAACCUGACUUGAUCAGGAGGUUGUCUGUGUUAGUCAAACUGUGAUGUGUUGCUGUGUGGUCUAACAUGGUGUGUUUCACUCUUUACGUAUGUCUUUCUGAGGUAAUAGACAAAAUAGUUAGCUGACUUAUCCAGACUUAACAGCGUGUAUCACUGUCCAUGAUAAUCAUACAUCGUGGUAGUAUUUUUGGCCUAUAUUUUCGGUGGCAUUGCUCUACACAGACAUAUGUUAUUGUGCAGAGUUAGGCGGGGUCACACUACUCUGAUGCCAAUCAGUAAUGAUUUUAUAUACUGUAAAAACAAAUUGCCACUUUGUCUGCACUUUAUUUUGCAGUGACAGUGUAUGUAUUGUCUGAUAUUUUGGAUUGUAGUGCAAUCCAGGCUGUUUUUAACGAAUGAUCCUCAAAAAGCCAAAGUAACACAGGAACAGAACGGUAGUGUGUCCUGCACCUCUACUUCAAUAAGUGCAAUACACUCAGUCAGUCAUGUUAAGGGUUGGUUCAGAUGGUGAGCUUACACUAUAUCAUUAUUUAGUAUAGUAGUUUGUUGACAUACAAUGAUGGCAAAGACUAGGGCUGGUUUGUCUAAUGUUAUUCAAUGUAAUAUUGCAGGUUUUAACUGACAUGUCAUAUUUAGGACAAUUAUUUUCUGUAUUUAUGUGACUUAUAGACAUAUUACGUAAAGCAUUUCAUCAUAAACAUAAAGCUUACUACUUCAAAAACAUUUUUUCAGUGAAAAUGUUUAUUAUCAUACAUUGUAUUAGAUAUACAAAAUAAUGUUAAAAAUAAGACAAAGGGUAUAGAAGGUUCAUUUUUAUCUAUCCUUGUGUGAUUACAAAAUGGGAAUUCAGUAGGCCUAUAUUAAGUUGUUUAUUGAUUUGUUUAUUUAAAAGAAGGCAGACAACACCUCUGGUCAUUUCACUGAUCACUGUUUCUUACAGUUUGAGCAGUAAUGUGGAUUAUUAGUGUGAGGGUCCAGCUUUGCAGUAUAUUCACUCAACUUAUCUCAGAGGGGUAAAAUAACACAAAAGUUGCAGGGUUAAUCACAAAUGGGAGAAUACUGGCUGUCAAACAGCUAAAUAACUAUGUGCCACUCAACAGUGACAAUCACAGGCUUCUCUAUACUACAUUGAAUUUGUAUCAGUGUUUAAUUUUACUGUGAGCUGAACAUGUAUGACAAGUAUUUUCUAGUUAUAUGUAGUGUGUGUGUGUGUGUGUGUGUGUGUGUGUGUGUGUGUGUGUGUGUGUGUGAAAAAACGAGUGAGAGAGUUACGUUUGGUCUGCAUAAUCCAAAUAUGAAUGUUAUCUACUAAGUCUGCAUUACCUGAUCUUUUCUGCUGUCUUUUGUUACUGUUUGUUAUAUAAAAAAUAAACUAAC